rnacentral:rRNA from 1 species
AUUGAACGCUGGCGGCAUGCCUUACACAUGCAAGUCGAACGGCAGCACGGGUGCUUGCACCUGGUGGCGAGUGGCGAACGGGUGAGUAAUACAUCGGAACAUGUCCUGUAGUGGGGGAUAGCCCGGCGAAAGCCGGAUUAAUACCGCAUACGAUCUACGGAUGAAAGCGGGGGACCUUCGGGCCUCGCGCUAUAGGGUUGGCCGAUGGCUGAUUAGCUAGUUGGUGGGGUAAAGGCCUACCAAGGCGACGAUCAGUAGCUGGUCUGAGAGGACGACCAGCCACACUGGGACUGAGACACGGCCCAGACUCCUACGGGAGGCAGCAGUGGAGAAUUUUGGACAAUGGGCGAAAGCCUGAUCCAGCAAUGCCGCGUGUGUGAAGAAGGCCUUCGGGUUGUAAAGCACUUUUGUCCGGAAAGAAAUCCUUGGCCCUAAUACGGUCGGGGGAUGACGGUACCGGAAGAAUAAGCACCAGCUAACUACGUG